rnacentral:rRNA from 1 species
AGUGAACGCUGGCGGUAGGCCUAACACAUGCGAGUCGAACGGCAGCACAGUAAGAGCUUGCUCUUACGGGUGGCGAGUGGCGGACGGGUGAGGAAUACAUCGGAAUCUACUUUUUCGUGGGGGAUAACGUAGGGAAACUUACGCUAAUACCGCAUACGACCUACGGGUGAAAGCAGGGGAUCUUCGGACCUUGCGCGAUUGAAUGAGCCGAUGUCGGAUUAGCUAGUUGGCGGGGUAAAGGCCCACCAAGGCGACGAUCCGUAGCUGGUCUGAGAGGAUGAUCAGCCACACUGGAACUGAGACACGGUCCAGCCUCCUACGGGAGGCAGCAGUGGGGAAUAUUGGACAAUGGGCGCAAGCCUGAUCCAGCCAUACCGCGUGGGUGAAGAAGGCCUUCGGGUUGUAAAGCCCUUUUGUUGGGAAAGAAAAGCAGCAGGUUAAUACCCCGCUGUUCUGACGGUACCCAAAGAAUAAGCACCGGCUAACUUCGUG